AUUGAACGCUGGCGGCAGGCCUAACACAUGCAAGUCGGACGAGUGGCGGACGGGUGAGUAAUGUCUGGGAACGUGCCUGAUGGAGGGGGAUAACUGCUGGAAACGGUAGCUAAUACCGCAUACCAUCCGAGGGGCCGAGAUGGGAUUAGCUGGUGGGUGGGGUAAAGGCUCACCUAGGCGACGAUCCCUAGCGGGUCUGAGAGGAUGACCAGCCACACUGGAACUGAGACACGGUCCAGACUCCUACGGGAGGCAGCAGUGGGGAAUAUUGCACAAGGGGCGCAAGCCUGAUGCAGCCAUGCCGCGUGUAUGAAGAAGGCCUUCGGGUUGUAAAGUACUUUCAGCGGGGAGGCGUUACCCGAAGAAGAAGCACCGGCUAACUCCGUGCCAGCAGCCGCGGUAAUAC
rnacentral:rRNA from 1 species